CUUUCAGAAUAUUGCAAAAAAUUCCAGUUUUUGCAUUUUUUUUUUUUUUUUUUCUUUUCAUGGAGUUUCUUUCCUAAAGGGCGAUGUGCAAAAACGGGAAGCAGCGGGGGGAGAGGGGCUGCGGCGGCUGACAGAAGUCCUCGAUUCCCCCGAACAUCCGUACAAAACGCCAAGCGAAUGCAGCUUUCGCUUUGGAAAAGCAGAGUAGUUCAAGGCAUAAGUCGAGAUACAA